AAAUAAAAAAAAAACUAAAUUUCUGCCUGGAACGGUAGUUUUCGAGAAAUUUCUAUUGCACUGCGCCGUCACUCGCAUCUCCGUUUUUCCUUGUCCGUGCUGGGAUUCUUCACCUCAUUCAUAUGAUGCUUUCGUAUGCAACCUUCUCUUCUUGUUCAACAUACAUUCUUCUCUUUAAUUGAUUCAACCCACCUUCUCAAUCGUGUUAGGUUUCUUCAUAACUUGAAACCCAUAAAAGUGCAGAAAAGAAGGAAAAAAUAUGGAAUCCAAAAGCUAUAGUAUCAAUGUUCCAAGCUUUAAACAAGUUUUCAAAGAAGCUUUUGUUUGACUGUCAUUAUGGAUUGAACUGAUGAAUGAAAACAUCCAGUAGAGGACACACUUGACAGUGGCUUGGAAAUCAAGAGUAAUCAAAAUUCUAUGACGACAAAGGAAAAUAUAGAUAAAUGUAAAGGUUCUGCUAUUGAAAAUUUGAGAGAAAAGAAACUUUAGAUGAAGAGAAACAUCUUUUUCAAAAAGUUUCUUAUGCUUUUCUCAACAUGCAAAACAAAGAUUAAAAGCUGGUACAUGAAUUUGUUACAAGGAAUCUUAGGCAAAAAGAUUUUGUUAGGAUUUUAUGAAUGAGAAUACUAGGGAUAUUGUUGGAGAGAUUGUUUAUUGUUGUAUAUUUAAUUAUAAGUAAAGUUUAUGAUGAUAUACACUAGUGUUUGCAGUGGAAUCCAUUGAAGUAAAUAACAAAACCAAAUAUUAUCAUUACUUUAA